rnacentral:lncRNA from 1 species
UUAGGGAUAGGGUUAGGAUCGACCACUCAAGACUAGCUAGCGCGACUGCGCAUUCGGAUCCGCGCUCCUUUAGUAGUACCCAUCGGCAGUUCUCAAAAUCGACCUCGGCGGAAUUGGAACAACGGAAUGGUGCUAAGUAUUUUGCCCGGUUUCGUAACGAUUCUGCCAGCUUGCUACUUUCCCGGUGCGGGAUCGAACCCUAGUUACAGACUACAGAAAGUGAAAGAAAAUACUCAAUACAAACAAAACAUGAUUGAAUAGAGCCACCUACUGGAUCAUUCGGGAAAUAACUAUUUUAAAGGGAAACAACCUCUUCAGACUAUUCUUUCCAACGGGCACCUGCUGCGCUGUUUACAUUUUGAAAUGAAUAGCAGAAACUGUGACAUGAAAGAAUUGCUUACAUCAGAUUCAUCAUCAACAUUAAUUAUCUCUUAAAGACUAAAGAAAAACUUUACAUGCAACAAAUAUAUAACUCUAUGGCAAACUACAGUGAAAUAUUUCUUCUGAAUGGAGAUUAAUGGCAGCAUUUCUCUCCUGUACAGUCUGUAAUAUGUACAAGAUGGAUGAAGUUUCAUAUAUGUUUGUGGCAUCUUCAGAUAUUGAUGAAUAUCAGAAACGAUGGGAAAAAUAGCUGUGAAACGUUUGAAAGAAAUAAUUGAUAAAAAAUGAAAUCUGAAAAAAAAUAUAUAUUGUCCUGAGAGAAGAAAAUUAUUGAAACAAUGGCUAAUGUUACAGACUUAAAGAAUUGAUUUAUUAUUCUGUUGAAGAGUUGCAAAAAGAGACUGAAAAAUCCUCAUACCAUUGUGGUAUCUGUCAAAAAUCAUUUUCUCUGGAAAGUAACCUCAUGAAUCACAAAUGAAUUGAUAGAAGUGAGAAACCAUA